rnacentral:rRNA from 1 species
CGAAGCAACGCGAAGAACCUUACCAGGCCUUGACGUGCAGAGAACUUUCCAGAGAUGGAUUGGUGCCUUCGGGAACGUCUGACACAGGUGCUGCAUGGCUGUCGUCAGCUCGUGUCGUGAGAUGUUGGGUUAAGUCCGUAACGAGCGCAACCCUUGUCCUUAGUUACCAGCACGUUAUGUGGGCACUCUAAGGAGACUGCCGGUGACAAACCGGAGGAAGGUGGGGAUGACGUCAAGUCAUCAUGGCCCCUACGGCCUGGGCUACACACGUGCUACAAUGGUCGGUACAAAGGGUUGCCAAGCCGCGAGGUGGAGCUAAUCCCAUAAAACCGAUCGUAGUCCGGAUCGCAGUCUGCAACUCGACUGCGUGAAGUCGGAAUCGCUAGUAAUCGUGAAUCAGAAUGUCACGGUGAAUACGUUCCCGGGCCUU